UGAUGCUUUCACUGGGUAUUAGGGCCUCUGUAGAACUACGAUAGUUCUACACGUUAUAUAGAUGUUUCACAUGUUCUUCCGACUUUCAGAGGCAAGCCAGUUUUCAUUAGUCCUAUGAAUAAAUCCAUGCAUGGAACUAAAUUCUGAGACUACCUGAAGUUUAUAGACGAUGCAAAGCUGAUGAUCAUUGUACCAGCUACAAACUCUAACACUGCCUGAAAUUUAUAGACGAUACAAAGCUGAUGAUCACUGUGCCAGCUGAAAGCAGAUCUGUGGAAAGUAUUUUGCCAGCUUUCAACAGAAUCAAAACUUACUGCAGGACCACAAAAAUGGCAGGAAAGCUGUCAUCCUUACCUUGAUUUCAGCGUAAAAACUCUCUCUGCUUGAGCGCUUGUAAAAAUGAAACAGAUUUUAUGAUGAGGUGACGACAGAAGUUUCCUUGAAAGAAAGGGGAUUUAGGAUUCAGUCGUGGAUAAAAUUCUAAAGAAGAGGAAAUGCAAAGAGAUGAGAAAUCACAUACUGAGAGAGAAAGCGCUCAUUUCUGCUUUCGUGAGGAAGAAGGAAGAAGAAUUCAACUUCGUAUUACCCGGGAAACUUACCGACAGUUUAUAUUGGCAGUUAUACCAGGAAUUAUUCCAGCCAUACCGAAUUUCCCAAGGACAACAGUGUGUUAGCCUAAAGGGAAGAAGAGGACUUUAGUGAGAGCUGGAAAAGAAGGUACUGCACAAGUCAUCACAUUCACGGUAAAGCUGCAAAUGAGAGGAAUGUUUGGAUCCAAAGAAGGGGUAUGAAGCACAUACACAGAGCCAGAAAAAUGCAGUUCUCAGAUACAGUUAUUCAAAUGUAAGUAG